GCCCGGGUGGCGGGGUAUACGCUGUAGUCUCAAAAACUACUGGACCUCAAGUCCGUGCGGGUUCGACUCCCGCCCCCGGCA
rnacentral:tRNA from 1 species